CUCGCUUUUGAGAGAAAUGUGGCGAUAAGUAGUAGUUAUAAUGAUCUAUAUUUUUCACCACGUAAAGCUGUGGACGGAGACAGGAGUACAUACCUGCUGGACUGUGUACUGACAGCUUCCGGUCAGAAGGAGGCGUGGUUAACAGUGGAUCUCGGGGAGAAGAAAAAUAUAGCAUCGAUAUCAAUCUUACAUGGGGGUUUUGGUCUAGGUGCAUCCUCACUAAAAACAACAGACUCUGGACUCUUUCCUGAUUCCGAUGGAAACGGUACAGUGUUCGUUGCCAGUCCAUUCAGAAGGAUUUGUAACGAUAGCUUUGAUGAAAAGGAUGCCCAGGUUGUUUGCUUGGCUUGGGGAUUUCUACCAGAUAACCCAUCUUAUAACAUAGCUGUAGACACCACAUCGAUUGGAUUUUAUGAAAAUGUCUUGAACUGUGCAGGCAAUGACAUUCACAUAAAUAGAUGUUCUAAAGGAUCCUCCGGCUGUCCAUCAAGAUCAGCUGUAGCUGUUACAU